rnacentral:lncRNA from 1 species
CCCGUAUCGCCCUAAUUACCCAAUUACCCUAUUACUAUAUCCCCCAUAGGCGGCGCGCUGUAACCCCCCGUUAUCCCCUAUUACCCUAUUACCCUAUUACUAUAUCCCCCAUAGGCAGCGCUGUAACCCCGUUACCCCCUAUUACCCUAUUACCCCCUAUAUCCCCAUAGGCAGUGCUGUAACCCCCGUUAUCCCUAUUAUCCCCUAUUACCCUAUUACUCUCUCCCCCAUAGGCAGCGCUGUGCCAUACAGACUCGAAGCCGUCGGGGAAGCCCGCGUGCUGCGUGGCCGCGGUUCGGGCGCGCUCGGCCGACGAGCAGCCGCACGUCGGGAACUAUCGGCUGCUGAAAAACCAUCGGCAAAGGAACUUCGCCAAGGUCAAACUGGCACGACACGUCCUGACCGGGAAGGAGGUGAAUGAAAUGGGCUGAGAUCAGCCAUAGGGACAGAGCUUAUGGGGACACACUGCUGGGCUAUGGGGUGAGAUCAGCCAUAGGGACAGAGCUAUGGGGACACACUGCUGGGUGUGGGGUGAGAUCAGCCAUAGGGACAGAGCUAUGGGGACACACUGCUGGGCUAUGGGGUGAGAUCAGCCAUAGGGACAGAGCUAUGGGGACACACUGAGUCCUGUGGGGACACUGUGAUAUGGGGCUGAGCUCAUCUAUGGGCCCCACUGUGAUAUGGGGCUGAGCUCAUCCCAUAGACCCCACUGUGAUAUGGGGCUGAGCUCAUCUAUGGGCCCCACUGUGAUAUGGGACUGAGCUCAUCCCAUAGCCCCCCACUGUGAUAUGGGACUGAGCUCAUCCCAUAGACCCCCACUGUGAUAUGGGGCUGAGCUCAUCUAUGGGCCCCACUGUGAUUGAUGGACUGAGCUCAUCUAUGGACCCCACUGUGAUAUGGGGCUGAGCUCAUCCCAUAGACCCCACUGUGAUAUGGGGCUGAGCUCAUCCCAUGGGCCCCAUUGCAAUAUGGGGACAAACCUCAUCCCAUAGGGGCUGAGCUCAUCCAUAGACCCACUGUGUUACGGGGACAGACCUGGUCCAAUGGGGACAGACUGUGUCCAAUGGGGACAGAGCUCAUCCAUAGACCCCACUGUGAUAUGGGAUGGACCUCGUCCCAUGGGGACAGACCUUGUCCUGUUGGGGACAGAUCUCAUCCCAUAUAGACAGACCUCGAUCCCAUGGGCCCCACUGCGAUGUGGGGCCGGCCCUGAGCUCCUGGUCUGCAUCCUAUGGGCCCUAUUAUGAUAUAGGGCCAGCCCUGUGCUGCAUAUAGGGCCCUAUUAUGAUAUAGGGCCAGCCCUGUGCUGCAUAUAGGGCCCCUAU